UACGGAGGAGGCAAGCGUUAUCCGGAAUUAUUGGGCGUAAAGCGUCCGCAGGUGGCGAUUCAAGUCUGCGGUCAAAGACUGGGGCUUAACCCUGGAAAGGCCGUGGAAACUGAAUAGCUAGAGUGCAGUAGGGGUAGAGGGAAUUUCCGGUGGAGCGGUGAAAUGCGUAGAGAUCGGAAAGAACACCAACGGCGAAAGCACUCUGCUGGGCCGACACUGACACUGAGAGACGAAAGCUAGGGGAGCGAAUGGG
rnacentral:rRNA from 1 species